AUUGAACGCUGGCGGCAGGCCUAACACAUGCAAGUCGAACGGUAACAGGAAACAGCUUGCUGUUUCGCUGACGAGUGGCGGGCGGGUGAGUAAUGUCUGGGAAACUGCCUGAUGGAGGGGGAUAACUACUGGAAACGGUAGCUAAUACCGCAUAACGUCGCAAGACCAGAGAGGGGGACCUUCGGGCCUCUUGCCAUCGGAUGUGCCCAGAUGGGAUUAGCUAGUAGGUGGGGUAACGGCUCACCUAGGCGACGAUCCCUAGCUGGUCUGAGAGGAUGACCCGCCACACUGGAACUGAGACACGGUCCAGACUCCUACGGGAGGCAGCAGAGGGGAAUUUUGGACAAUGGGCGCAAGCCUGAUCCAGCCAUGCCGCGUGUCUGAAGAAGGCCUUCGGGUUGUAAAGGACUUUUGUCCGGGAGCAAAUGCUGGUGGCUAACAUCCACCGGAGCUGAGAGUACCGGAAGAAUAAGCACCGGCUAACUACGUGCCAGCCGCCGCCGUAA
rnacentral:rRNA from 1 species